rnacentral:rRNA from 1 species
GACGAACGCUGGCGGCGUGCUUAACACAUGCAAGUCGAACGGAAAGGCCCUGCUUUUGUGGGGUGCUCGAGUGGCGAACGGGUGAGUAACACGUGAGUAACCUGCCCUUGACUUUGGGAUAACUUCAGGAAACUGGGGCUAAUACCGGAUAGGAGCUCCUGCUGCAUGGUGGGGGUUGGAAAGUUUCGGCGGUUGGGGAUGGACUCGCGGCUUAUCAGCUUGUUGGUGGGGUAGUGGCUUACCAAGGCUUUGACGGGUAGCCGGCCUGAGAGGGUGACCGGCCACAGUGGAGAUGGAGCGCGGCACGCACGCGUGCGGGGGGGAGGGGAGGGGAAUGUGGCAGGGGGGGGGGAGGCGGGCUGGGGCAGGGGCGGGGGGGCGAUGGCGGCCUUCGUGGUGUAGACCGGUUGGGCGGGGGACGAAGCGGGGGUGAGAGUAGGGGGUAAAGACGCAGGGGCAAACGAGGUGCCAGCGGCGGGGAGAAUCGAGGGGCAACCGAGUGAAC